AUGGCUGUUUACAGUUUCCCCUGGUCCAGUAAGACCAAAAUAAUGGUGUUCCAAAAAAGGUCCAGUCGCCAGGACCACAAAUACAAAUUCCAUCUAGACACUGUUGCCCUAGAGCACACAAAAAAAUAUACAUACCUUGGCCUAAACAUCAGUGCCACAGGUAACUUCCACAAAGCUGUGAACGAUCUGAGAGACAAGGCAAGAAGGGCAUUCUAUACCAUCAAAAGGAACAUAAAAUUCAACAUACCAAUUAGGAUCUGGCUAAAAAUACUUGAAUCAGUCAUAGAGCCCAUUGCCCUUUAUGGUUGUGAGGUCUGGGGUCCGCUCACCAACCAAUACUUCACAAAAUGGGACAAACGCCAAAUUGAGACUCUGCACGCAGAAUUAUGCAAAAAUAUUCUCCGUGUACAACGUAGAACACCAAAUAAUGCAUGCAGAGCAGAAUUAGGCCGAUACCCACUAAUUAUCAAAAUCCAGAAAAGAGCUGUUAAAUUCUAUAGCCACCUAAAAGGAAGCGAUUCCCAAACCUUCCACAACAAAGCCAUCACUUACAGAGAGAUGAACCUGGAGAAGAGUCCCCUAAGCAAGCUGGUCCUGGGGCUCUGUUCACAAACACAAACACACCCUACAGAGCCCCAGGACAGCAGCACAAUUAGACCCAAUCAAAUCAUGAGAAAACAAAAAGAUAAUUACUUGACACAUUGGAAAGAAUUAACAAAAAAACAGAGCAAACUAGAAUGCUAUUUGGCCCUAAACAGAGAGUGCACAGUGGAAUAUCUGACCACUGUGACUGACCCAAAAGUAAGGAAAGCUUUGACUAUGUACAGACUCAGUGAGCAUAGCCUUGCUAUUGAGAAAGGCCGCCGUAGGCAGACAUGGCUCUCAAGAGAAGACAGGCUAUGUGCACACUGCCCACAAAAUGAGGAGGAAACUGAGCUGCACUUCCUAACCUCCUGCCCAAUGUAUGACCAUAUUAGAGACACAUAUUUCCCUCAGAUUACACAGAUCCAUAAAGAAUUAGAAAACAAAUUCAAUUUUGCUAAACUCCCAUAUCUACUGGGUGAAAUUCCACAGUGUGCCAUCACAGCAGCAAGAUGUGUGACCUGUUGCCACAAGAAAAGAGCAACCAGUGAAGAACACACACCAUUGUAA
rnacentral:lncRNA from 13 species